AGCUGAAUCUACUAUGACUCAUAAAGGAGCAGUAGAAGCAAUUACAGUUGAGGGCAAGCAGUUCAGACACAGAGACUAAAGGGGGAAAAGAUAAACUGGAUAUGGAAUUUAAGGAGCAGAAGACAUAAUUUAUCACCGCAAGCAGAGUCUGCCCUAAAGCAUUAACCACUUGUCUGCAGUAGACCUGGCAUCCUCCCCGGCUCCCCUUCUGCUGCGUUCAGGAUUUGUUUCUUUGAGUUCCCAGCACAGCUGAUCUCUGAGAGACUUCUGGAUCUCUCCUGGAAGCAAAAUAGCUCAAAUGAGAUGUGCUUUGCUUUUAGGACACAGCUGAAUUUGCUAGAAUUGUUGAAGGAUCAUGGAAGAAAGAAGUGGUCCUGACAUGGUGCUAUUUGGGAUCCUGUAGCAGGCCAGAGUUUUGCCCAUCCUGUGGUGCUGGUUCGAGUCCCAGCUGCUCCUCUUCCAGUCCAGCUCUCUGCUAUGACCUGGGAUAGCAAUGGAAGAUGGCGCAAGUCCUUGGGCCCCUGCACCCACGUGGGAGACCCAGAAGAAGCUCCUGGCUCCUGGCUUCUGAUCGGCACAGCUCCGCCUGUUGCGGCCAUCUGGGGAGCGAACUAGUGGAUGGAAGACCUCUCUCUCUGGCUCUACCUCUCUAUGUAACUCUGUCUUUCAAAUAAAUAAAAUAAAUCUUAAAAAAA